GCCGUCGUAGCCCAAUCAGGUAGAGGCGCCCGGUUUAGGUCCGGGAGGAUCGGGGUUCGAGUCCCUUCGGCGGUA
rnacentral:tRNA from 1 species